GACGAACCACCCAAACGUUAUUCGGAAUUACUGGGCUUAAAGAGUGCGUAGGCGGCCUUGUAAGUCGGGUGUGAAAUCCCACAGCUCAACUGUGGAACUGCGCUCUAAACUACAUGGCUAGAGGGAUAUAGAGGUGAGCGGAACUGAUGGCGGAGCGGUGAAAUGCGUUGAUAUCAUCAGGAACACCGGAGGCGAAGGCGGCUCACUGGGUAUCUUCUGACGCUGAGGUACGAAAGCUAGGGGAGCGAACGGG
rnacentral:rRNA from 1 species